CAGAAGUGUAUUUUUGGAUAAUAUUUCUAGUGCCGAAAGUCAGAAACAGAAUAAACCAGGGAGGGGCUGAUGGUGGGGACAUCUGGUACUGAUAAGGGACUUUAUUUGACCUUACUGUAUUUUUAAAUUCAUUUUACAAGGUGAGUAUAUUUAUGUGUUAACUACAGAACUUAAAAUUUAUAAUAAAAAUAAAUAAAGCUCAGGAUAACUUUUCCUUUCACCUUGCAGUGUUAGUGAACUCUGGACAGUUUUAGCUCAGAAUACCUAUAUUUGGACUUUAUAGGCUUGUAAUCCUGUUUUGUGAACAAAGCCCCUUUGGACAUUAUUUUACAGUUGGUAUGGCAUCUCCAUCCCCAACAGGGGUGUACAGAGAAGUCCUGGGGCCCUUUUAUGAUUCUAACCAAAGCAAGGCCAAGUGCCAGUGCUUCUGUGUCUCACCCACUAGUACUCAGUGAGGCCACACUCGGGUGGGUCAGUCGAUUCACCCUUACUUAGGCCUUUCUGAACAAACGGGCAAUGUUUGAAUCAGUUGUGACAAGGCUUACUUGCAGAAACCCAUACUAGAUGGAAAAUGGAAACUGUUCCAAGUAUAGAAAAGGUUUGAGGACCCAAAACAAAAGAAAUACUAGUCAACUGUUACUGUGUGCUUAUUGAGUACCUAGGUACUAUAGUACUGUAGAGGUGUAUUUGCUUUCUACAACUUCUAUUGCAAAUUCCUACACACUUGGUGACUUACCACAUGCAUUUGUUCUCUGAAGUUCUGGAGGUCAGAAGUCUAAAAUAAUUUUCACCAGAAGUCAAGGUAUUGGCUAGCUACAUCCCCUCAGGAGACUCUGGGAAGAAUUUUUUUUCCAGUCUCAAGCAGCACCUUUGAAUUCCUUGACUCAUGGCCCCUUCCUCUACCUUCAAAGCAAAUUUUUGGUUGUCACAUCACCUUCUUCUGUGUAAUCACCUCUCUCUGCCAUAAGAACAUUUAUGAUUACACUUAAGGCCCAUCUGGAUCUGGAUAAUACAGGUAAUCUCCCCCUCUCAGUAUCUUCACAUAUUACUUUGCAAUACAAGCUAACAGGUUCCAGGAAUUUGGACCUAGAUGUCUUUUGAGGCUUGUUAUUCAGCUUGCCACACAGGUGACUAUAAUGUGCUCUUGUAUUCACUGACCUUUAUUGGGAGUGAAAGGCAUCCAUAAAUACGAAUAUGUGAAACUGGUUGUCAUAUAAAGAAAAGACUAGGAAUGUGGAGGAAAAAUACUAAUUUUGUUUGAAGGGAUUAGAAAUGUCAUGAAAAAAGGAAGAAAAAUGGUUUGAAAAAGUGGAAAAGAAUAUAAGCAGAGGCAUCAAAAGUUGAGUUUAGAAGAGGCAAGUAAUGCUA
rnacentral:lncRNA from 1 species